rnacentral:snoRNA from 1 species
AUGCAUCUGAUUGUUCUAUAGCAAUUACUGUUUCCACUACAAAUGCAAGAGAAAAAAAAGUCUUCACAUUUUCUGUCUGUGGCAGCCAAGAAUGAAUGAGGAAUACAGAA